UGGGGAAUAUUGGACAAUGGGCGAAAGCCUGAUCCAGCCAUGCCGCGUGUGUGAAGAAGGUCUUCGGAUUGUACAGCACUUUAAGUUGGGAGGAAGGGCAGUAAGCGAAUACCUUGCUGUUUUGACGUUACCGACAGAAUAAGCACCGGCUAACUCUGUGCCAGCAGCCGCGGCAAUACAGAGGGUGCAAGCGUUAAUCGGAAUUACUGGGCGUAAAGCGCGCGUAGGUGGUUCGUUAAGUUGAAUGUGAAAGCCCCGGGCUCAACCUGGGAACUGCAUCCAAAACUGGCGAGCUAGAGUAGGGCAGAGGGUGGUGGAAUUUCCUGUGUAGCGGUGAAAUGCGUAGAUAUAGGAAGGAACACCAGUGGCAAAGGCGACCACCUGGGCUCAUACUGACACUGAGGUGCGAAAGCGUGGGGAGCAAACAGG
rnacentral:rRNA from 1 species